rnacentral:lncRNA from 1 species
GUGUGGGACGAUCAAUCAUUAAGGGGUUAACCUUGGUGGGCGUGUCUUAAGUGUUACCGAAGUGACAUCACACAUUGAUCAGCUGUUUGUGUUCACGUUUAAAGCCGAAACAUCUCCAGUCUUUAAUAUUCCUGUAAAUAUGAGCACUUUUACCUGCGCUGUGGACACAAAUAACAACAUUUUUACUUCUGAAAAUCCAACCAUGGACACACUAUUCCAGUCACCUUCAAUGAAGACUGUCAUCCUUCUCAAUUUCUUAAGGAAUGAGAGUCAAAAGAAGCGACACCAGCCGUACCUUUACGCCCAGGCCUGCACUGACUUUACGAUGGACUGGCCCUCCUGCAGGCCACCUCGGCCUGUGUUUUCAAUGUAUGGACCUUCCAACUCUCAACCAGGUUGUGGUGGUACCUACACCUGGGAGGAAGAAGGCCUUCUGAUGGAUCAACCCAUCACGUCUCCAAGCAUGAGCCAACCUCCUGAAAGCAGAUGGUCUCCAAACCAGCUCAGCUUCAGUUCUACUCAUGACAUUGGUGGUGGACACACGUACAUCUACAGCCCUAUCUCUGAAAUAUCUGGAUUUGUGACUGACUGCUUCCCUGCUUGGAUGUCAGAGAUCGAGGUUCCAGCAGAGAGAGGAACAUCUAUACCUGCAUGUGAGUACACAAACUCCUGAAGCUUAAGUUGCAGCAGCGACAAACUGGAAAAGAAUGUUUAACUCACAACAAAACCUUGAAUCUGUUUUUAUAGGGAAAGUUACAGAAGAUCCUCCAACUCAGAGAACGCUCGACUGGUGAACACUGGCUGCGGGAAUAUUGUGUAUAAUGAUCAUG